ACUUCCCAGAGAGCAGCCUAACGGCUGAUGGCUGGUGAUUUUUUGGUCACCAGCCU
rfam:Proteus mirabilis strain HI4320, complete genome